UGGGGAAUAUUGGGCAAUGGGCGCAAGCCUGACCCAGCAACGCCGCGUGAAGGAAGAAGGCCCUCGGGUUGUAAACUUCUUUUAUUUAGGACGAAACAAAUGACGGUACUGAAUGAAUAAGCCACGGCUAACUACGUGCCAGCAGCCGCGGUAAUACGUAGGUGGCAAGCGUUAUCCGGAUUUACUGGGUGUAAAGGGCGUGUAGGCGGGACGACAAGUCAGAUGUGAAAUUCCAGGGCUCAACUCUGGACCUGCAUUUGAAACUGUUGUUCUUGAGUGAUGGAGAGGCAGGCGGAAUUCCGAGUGUAGCGGUGAAAUGCGUAGAUAUUCGGAGGAACACCAGUGGCGAAGGCGGCCUGCUGGACAUUAACUGACGCUGAGGCGCGAAAGCGUGGGGAGCAAACA
rnacentral:rRNA from 1 species